UGGCGGACGGGUGAGUAACACGUGAGCAACCUGCCUUUCAGUGGGGGACAACACUUAGAAAUAGGUGCUAAUACCGCAUAACGGGGGGAGCCGCAUGGCACCCCCCUGAAAACUCCGGUGGUACAGGAUGGGCCCGCGUCUGAUUAGCUGGUUGGCAGGGUAACGGCCUACCAAGGCGACGAUCAGUAGCCGGCCUGAGAGGGCGGACGGCCACACUGGGACUGAGACACGGCCCAGACUUCUACGGAAGGCAGCAG
rnacentral:rRNA from 1 species